AUGACCUUCGUCCUCCCUAGUUGCGGGAUAAGUUGAACUCUUCAAGUAUAGAUAAAAAAUUAUUGUUCUUGAUUAAAUGUCUGUAUAAAAACACUGUGCUGAAAGUGUGUUGCUCUACAAAUGGGUAGCACACAGGAUCCUUACCAGCCACAAAGGGAGUUGAGCAAGGUUGUAUCCUAGCUCCCGCAUUGCUUAAUUUAUAUAUAAAUGAUAUUGUACAGAGUUAAACAUCUCCAGAGUAUCAUGCCCCUAAACUGGCCACAAAAGCCAUCUCUAUAUUAUUUUACGCAGAUGAUGUGGUACUUCUAUCUCAAGAUUAGGCCUAAAAAGACUGAUGAGGGCAUUCUCAGGAUACAAAUAAAUUGUUGUUGUUGUUGUUGUUGUUGUUGUUGUUGUUGUUGUUGUACUGUGCUGCCCAGGACUGUUUUUCAGGCUUGGAAAUGUACACAUGAGCCCAAAAGACUGCCGACCCCCUGCUUUAGAAACAUACAACAUUCACCAUAUUUGCUUUAGCAUAUUUUUCUGAAUGCUAGGAGGAUUUGUUUUCUUUCUUUCCAAUUCUUACUACCAUGCAUUUCAUGUGACUGUUCCAGAGUAAACAGUUUCAGGGCUUUGGCUAUAAAAUUGACAGAGCAGUCCUAAGCACAUUUACUUGAAUGUAAACCCAUUGGCUGCGAUAGCAUUUACUUCCUCGGAUGGAGGAACAAACUGUUCUGCAUUGUAUACUGAGGCGAUAAUUGUUAAGUGCACAGAUAUGGGAAAACAGACACUGUAUAAUUACAGACAACAUGUCACGCGAGAGACAGUAGGUUCCAUGGAAAAGUUCACCCUUUUUAAGAAAGUAAUAUAAUUCUAUGGCUUGCAAGGGCUGAAUUGCUUCCAUGGAGAUGAACAGACGUUUUGCUAUAAUCUUCAAGGAGGUUUUCCAAGAAAUCUCAACAACUAUUUUCUUUCAAAAAGGUCAACUGGAAGGUUGCAUUCAAUAGUAAUUAAGUGUCAGUCAUCUAUCUGGAAAUAGUAAUGACCUACAACAUUUUUACAGGUAGCUGGGGAAGCAGAAUUCUGAUGUUCAAACACGUAGAAGAAUUUAGUCAGAAGCAGAAACUUUCUCAAG